CAGAUUAUUGAACAUUUACAUUAAUAACUCGAGAAAUAAAGCAUGACAUUUUCAGAUAAGGUGAUUUUGGACUUCAGGGGAAAAAUGUCUACUGGAAUAUGUAAAAGUUUUACCGUUACCGCGUCAUUUUUUCGUGAAGAUGUGAUUACACACAGACACACAAAAAUAAAUACACAUCCAAGAUCAGUGUUUUAUAGGUAUGGAGAUGUGGUU